rnacentral:misc_RNA from 1 species
GAUGAAGAACGCAGCGAAAUGCGAUAAGUAAUGCGAAUUGCAGAAUUCAGUGAGUCAUCGAAUCUUUGAACGCACAUUGCGCCCUGUGGUAUUCCGCAGGGCAUGCCUGUUCGAGCGUCAUUUCAACCCUCAAGCCCCGCUUGGUGUUGGGCCCCGCCCGCCGUGGCCGGCCCUAAAGACAGUGGCGGCGCCGCCUGGCCCUCAGCGUAGUACAGCUCUCGCUCCAGGGUCCGGCGGCCGCCUGCCAGAACCCCCCCAACUCUGUGGUUGACCUCGGAUCAGGUAGGGAUACCCGCUGAACUUAAGCAUAUCAAUAAGCGGAGGA